AUUGAACGCUGGCGGCAUGCUUUACACAUGCAAGUCGAACGGUAACAGGCCGCAAGGUGCUGACGAGAGGCGAACGGGUGAGUAAUGCAUCGGAACGUGCGCAGUCGUGGGGGAUAACGCAGCGAAAGCUGUGCUAAUACCGCAUACGAUCUAUGGAUGAAAGCGGGGGACCGUAAGGCCUCGCGCGAUUGGAGAGGCCGAUGUCAGAUUAGGUAGUUGGUGGGGUAAAGGCCUACCAAGCCGACGAUCUGUAGCUGGUCUGAGAGGAGGACCAGCCACACUGGGACUGAGACACGGCCCAGACUCCUACGGGAGGCAGCAGUGGGGAAUUUUGGACAAUGGGCGCAAGCCUGAUCCAGCAAUGCCGCGUGCAGGAAGAAGGCCUUCGGGUUGUAAACUGCUUUUGUACGGAACGAAACGGUCUGGGUUAAUACCCUGGGCUAAUGACGGUACCGUAAGAAUAAGCACCGGCUAACUACGUGCCAGCCGCCGCCGUAAAAC
rnacentral:rRNA from 1 species